GAUCAGGUUGUUGGCGAGGUAAUGGCUCACCAAGCCUUUUACCGGUGCGGGCCGUGAGAGCGGGAGCCCGGAGAUGGGUACUGAGACAAGGACCCAGGCCCUACGGUGCGCAGCAGUCGCGAAAACUUUGCAAUACACGCAAGUGUGACAGGGCUAUCCCGAGUGCCAUCCGCUGAGGAAGGCUUUUACCCAGUUUAGAAAGCUGGGGGAAUAAGGAGAGGGCAAGUCUGGUGUCAGCCGCCGCGGUAAUACCAGCUCUCCGAGUGGUGUGGAUGUUUAUUGGGCCUAAAGCAUCCGUAGCUGGCUAAGUUAGUCCCUUGUUAAAUCCACCGAAUUAAUCGAUGGAUCGCGGGGGAUACUGCUUGGCUAGGGGACGAGAGAGGCAGACGGUAUUUUCGGGGUAGGGGUGAAAUCCUAUAAUCCCGGGAAGACCACCAGUGGCGAAGGCUGUCUGCUAGAACGCGCCCGACGGUGAGGGAUGAAAGCUGGGGGAGCGAACCGGAUUAGAUACCCGGGUAGUCCCAGCUGUAAACGAUGCAGACUAUGUGUU
rnacentral:rRNA from 1 species